rnacentral:rRNA from 1 species
GUCUACAGCCAUGCCACCCUGAACAAGCCUGAUUCUGUCUGAUCUUGGAAGCUAAGCAGGGUCAGGCCUGGUUAGUACCUGAGUGGGAGACCACCUAGGAAGACCAGCUGUAGAUG